UCGUGCUCGUGCUCGUGCUCAGGCCUAAUACAUGCAAGUCGAACGGAUCCUUCGGGAUUAGUGGCGGACGGGUGAGUAACACGUGGGAACGUGCCCUUUGGUUCGGAACAACUCAGGGAAACUUGAGCUAAUACCGGAUGUGCCCUUCGGGGGAAAGAUUUAUCGCCAUUGGAGCGGCCCGCGUCUGAUUAGCUAGUUGGUGGGGUAAAGGCCCACCAAGGCGACGAUCAGUAGCUGGUCUGAGAGGAUGAUCAGCCACAUUGGGACUGAGACACGGCCCAAACUCCUACGGGAGGCAGCAGUGGGGAAUCUUGCGCAAUGGGCGAAAGCUGACGCAGCCAUGCCGCGUGAAUGAUGAAGGUCUUAGGAUUGUAAAAUUCUUUCACCGGGGACGAUAAUGACGGUACCCGGAGGAGAAGCCCCGGCUAACUUCGUGCCAGCAGCCGCGGUAAUACGAAGGGGGCUAGCGUUGCUCGGAAUUACUGGGCGUAAAGGGAGCGUAGGCGGACUGUUUAGUCAGAGGUGAAAGCCCAGGGCUCAACCUUGGAAUUGCCUUUGAUACUGGCAGUCUUGAGUACGGAAGAGGUAUGUGGAACUCCGAGUGUAGAGGUGAAAUUCGUAGAUAUUCGGAAGAACACCAGUGGCGAAGGCGACAUACUGGUCCGUUACUGACGCUGAGGCUCGAAAGCGUGGGGAGCAAACAGGAUUAGAUACCCUGGUAGUCCACGCCGUAAACGAUGAGUGCUAGUUGUCGGCAUGCAUGCAUGUCGGUGACGCAGCUAGCGCAUUAAGCACUCCGCCUGGGGAGUACGGUCGCAAGAUUAAAAACUCAAAGGAAUUGACGGGGGCCCGCACAAGCGGUGGAGCAUGUGGUUUAAUUCGAAGCAACGCGCCAGAACCUUACCACCUUUUGACAUGCCCGGACCGCCUCAGAGAUGAGGCUUUCCCUUCGGGGACUGGGACACAGGUGCUGCAUGGCUGUCGUCAGCUCGUGUCGUGAGAUGUUGGGUUAAGUCCGCAACGAGCGC
rnacentral:rRNA from 1 species